GAAUGCUGAGGUCCAUAAAGGUCCCACUGUGACCUAGAUGGAAGCUGAGAGAAUAUAGUAGAAAAGCCACUGACCUGACCAGACCCAUUUAUAGUCUUCCAGGCCAACGUAGUUCCCUUGAAGCAGAUACACAUUGAAGUCCCGGGGACUAGAACAGAUUUACCUAGGGGCCCAGCACUGGCAUGUGAAGUUUUCUCCAGCUGAGGCUGAUGGGGGUGCCAGCAGGAGUCAGCUUCCCACUGGGGAGGAGCAGGGAGCAGGUGUUCCCCCCAACCAGUUUCUCCUUGCGUUUAUUGAAUCUCUUCAGUUACAGACAUGACCUCUGUCUGGGUCCCCGGAAGCUAUCAAAAGAAUUAUGAACUCCUUUCAAGAUGAAAGGUGCUGGUUCUUCACAAAGGUGUCCCGGCCGGCACGUGAACUGGAGCCUCUUUUGUCCUCCGUCCCCGCUGGGUAGAGUGAAUGGAUCACUUCACCUCCCGUGUGUCUCUAAAGGCUGCAGGGUGACCUCUGCUCCCUUCUCCCCACACUCCUCCUCCGGGCUGCUUUCUGCUCCUCCACGCUUGGUCCACCUGCCAGAGUCUCAGGAGCUGAAACCGGAAUGCAGGCAUCCGUGCCCUCCAUCUGUUCCAUCCGAAGAAGAGACUAGAUGGACGAAUCUGAGGCUCCAAUUCUAGAGAAAGGCACCCACCUCUUGAUGGCCCCUCGUAUUACAUCCCAACUUUUCCCUCUUCCCGGGCUGCCUCAGUCAUUGAGAAUGCGCUAUCUCUAAGGUACCUGCUCCUGACUGGCUCCAAUCAACACAUUUCUUAAACUCCUUUACAGCAAGCUUGUUAGGGCUGUCUGCCACACCGUGAGGUCCCAACUUGCUCUGGUUAAUUAGGAGGCUUGGGGAUGUGCGAGUUGUUUUAGAAAUUGUUCUGUGGGUGAUAGUCGUGCUGAGCAAGUUCACUUUUGAAAUAUUUAGUGCUUAGUCGUUUUCUGCUCUAGAUGUGGGGGAGGGGCCGUUUGCUGUGACUGUGUAUUUUCACCUCCUGUCUUUUUUGGCACGUGGAGCUUAUGUACUUCCUGCUACCUUCCCACCUGCCUCCCCUUACAAACAUGGAAGAAGUAAACCGUGAAAAUCAUCGUUCUUCAGGUAUGGAGCUGAAAAGACCGUUAUUAAAAUUACCGAGGCACGUCACACCCCUAAACGCCUUUAGAAAGGAAAGCCGUGGUGAUUUAUGGCAGGUGGCAAAAUACUUGUCAUCCAGCAGCAAACUCCCCUCCAGCUCCCAGUGUUUGUUUUGCAAAGCUCACGCAGGAAACCAGUGCACUCCACUCACCUAGCCUGGACCUUGUAUGUUCCCCUACCUCCUUGCCUAUCCCUUGGCUGCUUGACCUCCAAGGAGCUAAACUAAUCUUAUCUGGCACCUUACAAUUUUAUUGUCAGAUGGAACUUUAUCUUAAAGUCUAGGAUUGCCAUUCCCACCAAACUUCUUCAAUUCCUUCUUUAUAUUUCAUUAAUUUAGUUACCCGAUAAAUGUUUAUUUGUAAUCUCUGUAAGAGGUGUUGGGUAUCUAUGCUGGUUAGUUUUUUUGUUGUUUUUUGAAAGUUUGAUGCAAGCUAGAGUCAUUGAGGAAAAGGGAACCUCAAUUGAGAAACCGUUUUUAUUAGGCUGGCCAGUAGGCAAGUCUGUGGGGGACAUUUACCUAUUUAAUGAUUGAUGUGGGAGGUCCCAGCCCAUCAUGGGCAGGUGGUCCUGGGUGGCAUAAUUCAGCAGCCUAGGCAAGCCACAGGGAGUAAUCUAGUAAACAGCUUUCCUCCUUGGCCUCUGCUUCAGGUCCUGCCUCUAGAUUCCUGCCUUGGUUUCCUCCAGCGAUGAAUGUAAAUGGGACAUGUAAACAAAAUAAACCCUUUCCUCCCUGA